UUUCAGCUUUGGUGGCACAGGGGCUGAUUUCUCUAAGAUCAGCUCUUUCCUCUGAGCACAGCUGACUGGCUUGCUGAACCGUGGUCUUCAUGUAUGUACACUUAUAAUUGCAUUUAUUUAUACAAAUGUGUAAUACAGAGAAUACAGUUUCAUCUUCCAGGACCUCGUUCAAGUCUACAGGGCCAGGAUAAGAGCAUCCCAGCGUUCAGAACUGGCUGAGCUGCUCUCCGUGUCUGAAGAAUGGUGACUGUCAGGUGAAGUUCUCAAGGCGUGGAUUUGGAUGGGCAAAGUGCAACAGCUACAGCAGGGACAGAUGCUUUGAUGGAACGGCUCGAUCAGGAAGAUUGAAGAAUGGAGGUGGCUCUCACCUGGAGAAGGCUGUGAUGCUCCUGGGGAACUGGUGCCACCAGAUAAAGCUCAUUCCUGAGCUCAAGCUUGUUGCCUCCUGCUCAGCAACUGAUAAGGGAGCAGCGAUGCUUGCUUGGCCAUGAAAUAACACAGGGGAACUCCAGUAAGACAGGUCUCAGCCUCUGUUCUGUAAUGUAUCUGUUGCACAAUGGUACCGGGCGAUGCUGCUGGCAUCUCAACGUUGCCUUCCCUCCAGGUAAAACCGACCCGUACCAAACUUUUUAGGGC